GUAGGGUGCGAGCGUUAAUCGGAAUUACUGGGCGUAAAGCGUGCGCAGGCGGUUCGCCAAGUCAGGUGUGAAAUCCCCGGGCUUAACCUGGGAAUUGCGCUUGAAACUAGCGGGCUUGAGUGUGGCAGAGGGGGGUGGAAUUCCACGUGUAGCAGUGAAAUGCGUAGAGAUGUGGAGGAACACCGAUGGCGAAGGCAGCCCCCUGGGUCAACACUGACGCUCAUGCACGAAAGCGUGGGGAGCAAACAGGAUUAGAUACCCUGGUAGUCCACGCCCUAAACGAUGUCGACUAGGUGUUGGGGAAGGAGACUUCCUUAGUACCGCAGCUAACGCGUGAAGUCGACCGCCUGGGGAGUACGGUCGCAAGAUU
rnacentral:rRNA from 1 species